rnacentral:rRNA from 1 species
ACUGAAAUCACAAGACACUAAAAAUAGUAAUUGUGAUAAGGUAUGGGAAAAUUAUGAUAUUACCAUACUAUAAGUGUUGUCUAAAUUUUGGUGCCAGAAGACUCGGUAAGGCCAGAAACGCAAACGUUAAUCAUCUUAAUCAGGCGUAAAGGGUUUGUAGGCUGUUUUAAUAAUUUAUAUUUAAAAAUAGCUUUAAAUAAACAAAAAUUUAUUUAAUUUAAAUAUAAUAAAAAUAAAACUAGAAUCAAAUAGAGGAUAAGCCAUAUAAUACUUAGAGUAGGGAUAAAAUCCGUAGAUACUAAGGGGAAUACUAAUGGUGAAAACAUUUAUCUAUUAAUGAUUGACGCUGAGACACGAAGGUGAGAAUAGGAAAUUGGAUUAGAUACCCAGAUACCUCUCACUGUCAACGAUGAAUGGUGGUUGUUAGUUUUAAUAAAAAUUGAUAGCGAUGUUAACACGUUAACCAUUCCGCCUUGCGAGUACGGUU